UACGGAGGGGGCUAGCGUUGUUCGGAAUUACUGGGCGUAAAGCGCGCGUAGGCGGACCAGCCAGUCAGAGGUGAAAGCCCGGAGCUCAACUUCGGAACUGCCUUUGAUACUGUUGGUCUGGAGUACGGUAGAGGUGUGUGGAAUUCCGAGUGUAGAGGUGAAAUUCGUAGAUAUUCGGAGGAACACCAGAGGCGAAGGCGACACACUGGACCGUUACUGACGCUGAGGCGCGAAAGCGUGGGGAG
rnacentral:rRNA from 1 species